rnacentral:rRNA from 1 species
AUACAGAGAGUGCGAGCGUUAAUCGGAAUUACUGGGCGUAAAGCGCGUGUAGGUGGAUGCUUAAGUCGACUGUGAAAGCCCCGGGCUUAACCUGGGAAUUGCAAUCGAGACUGGGCAACUAGAGUAUGGUAGAGGGAAGUGGAAUUUCCGGUGUAGCGGUGAAAUGCGUAGAUAUCGGAAGGAACACCAGUGGCGAAGGCGGCUUCCUGGACCAAUACUGACACUGAGACGCGAAAGCGUGGGGAGCAAACAGGAUUAGAAACCCCUGUAGUCC